rnacentral:rRNA from 1 species
GAUGAACGCUGGCGGCGUGCCUAAUACAUGCAAGUCGAGCGAACAGACGAGGAGCUUGCUCCUCUGACGUUAGCGGCGGACGGGUGAGUAACACGUGGAUAACCUACCUAUAAGACUGGGAUAACUUCGGGAAACCGGAGCUAAUACCGGAUAAGAUAUUGAACCGCAUGGUUCAAUGGUGAAAGACGGUUUUGCUGGCACUUCUAGAUGGAUCCGCGCCGCAUUAGCUAGUUGGGAAGGUAAAGGCUUACCAAGGCAACGAUGCGUAGCCGAACUGAGAGGGUGAUCGGCCACACGGGAACUGAGACACGGUCCAGACUCCUACGGGAGGCAGCAGUAGGGAAUCUUCCGCAAUGGGCGAAAGCCUUACGGAGCAACGCCGCGCGAGUGAUGAAGGUCUUCGGAUCGUAAAACUCUGUUAUUAGGGAAGAACAAAUGUGUAAGUAACUAUGCACGUCUUGACGGUACCUAAUCAGAAAGCCCCGGCUAACUACGUG